rnacentral:rRNA from 1 species
UACGUAGGGUGCGAGCGUUAAUCGGAAUUACUGGGCGUAAAGCGUGCGCAGGCGGUUUUGUAAGACAGGCGUGAAAUCCCCGAGCUCAACUUGGGAAUUGCGCUUGUGACUGCAAGGCUAGAGUGUGUCAGAGGGGGGGUAGAAUUCCACGUGUAGCAGUGAAAUGCGUAGAGAUGUGGAGGAAUACCGAUGGCGAAGGCAGCCCCCCUGGGACAUGACUGACGCUCAUGCACGAAAGCGUGGGGAGCAAACAGG